AGUGAACGCUGGCGGCGUGCCUAAUACAUGCAAGUAGAACGAAGUGGCGCACGGGUGGGUAAUAUAUAGAUAAUCAGCCAUACAAAGAGGAAAAACAAUUGGAAAAGAAUGAUAAUACAUCAAAGUGUAGGAUGAGAAUAUAUCGUAUCAGCGAGUUGGUAAGGUAAUGGCUUACCAAGGCGAUGACGCGUAACAGGUCGUAGAGGAUGAGCAGUCACAUUGGAAGUGAGACACGGUCCAAACACCUACGGGAGGCAGCAGUAAGGAAAAUUGCGCAAUGGGGGAAACCCUGACGCAGCAACGCCGCGUGGAGGAUGAUACUUUUCGGAGCGUAAACUCCUUUUAUCAGGAAAGCGGUACCUGAUGAAUAAGCACCGGCUAACUCCGUGCCAGCAGCCGCGGUAAUUC
rnacentral:rRNA from 1 species